rnacentral:lncRNA from 1 species
GGUGACACACAGCUAAGCCACAGCAACAUGAAGACCUAAAGGAAGCCUAAAGAGAAUGGAUAAAGUGACUGUUACACAUGGUCAUGAGAGAUGCUGAGCUCUACGAGAGAGUUUCUUUGCACAGACUUUGUGUAAGGACUACCAGGAGCUAAGGGACAUUGACACAGAUUCCACGUGUGGACAGGGCCCAAACCUGGCAUCCUGUGGAACCUCUGGUUAAUGAAGAACAGGUCAAAGAGAAGCCUAAGAGAAGAAGAACCUUGGCUUUGGAGGGUAGCUGAAAAAUAUCACUAAAUAACCACCUCAAAAGAAUUAUGGUUCUUCUGGUGCCCGUAGCAUCACUUUACUUGGGAAAGGCAGCACAGAGCCAUUGGACAGGCUCUUACCCCCAUCUCAAAUCUCUAUGAGUUUAAACACCAAGUUGCAUUCAGUAUACUUUAUGGCUUGUCUUUUUUGUGUCUGUGGUGUCUAGCACAAUUCUUACUCACAUUAAAGCACAACAAAUG